UAUCGCUGUUAGAUAGCCAUGCACGUCUAGUACAAACUAAAUGAUGGUGAAACUGCAAAUGGCUCAUUACAACGGUUAUGAUGUACCCGGGAGUUCCGAUGGAUAUUUCCAGUAACACUAGAACUAAUACAUGUCCCUGCGUUUAUUAGUUUCGCACAGUCCGUCGCUGAGUCAUGGUAAACAGUUGAUCGACUCGACGUCCCGGAACAGUUUCCGCCCCAUCAGCUUCGAUGGUUGGGUAUUGGCCUACCAUUGCAACAACGGGUAACGAGGAAUUAGGGUUUGAUUUCGGAGAGGGAGCCUGAGAAACGGCUACCACAUCUACGGAUGGCAGCAGGCGCGCAAAUUACCCAAUGCAGACACUGUGAGGUAGUGACGAGAAAUAAUAAAGCGGGACUUCUGUUUCGCUAUUAUAAUGAGGAAUAACCAAAGGUCAUUCCGAUUAGCAACUGAUGGGAAAGUCUGGUGCCAGCAGCCGCGGUAAUACCAGCGUCAGUAGC
rnacentral:rRNA from 1 species